UAGGGAAUCUUCCACAAUGGACGCAAGUCUGAUGGAGCAACGCCGCGUGAAUGAAGAAGGUUUUCGGACCGUAAAGCUCUGUUGUUGGUGAAGAAGGAUAGAGGUAGUAACUGGCCUUUAUUUGACGGUAAUCAACCAGAAAGUCACGGCUAACUACGUGCCAGCAGCCGCGGUAAUACGUAGGUGGCAAGCGUUGUCCGGAUUUAUUGGGCGUAAAGCGAGCGCAGGCGGAAGAAUAAGUCUGAUGUGAAAGCCCUCGGCUUAACCGAGGAAUUGCAUCGGAAACUGUUUUCUUGAGUGCAGAAGAGGAGAGUAGAACUCCAUGUGUAGCGGUGGAAUGCGUAGAUAUAUGGAAGAAUACCAGUGGCGAAGGCGGCUCUCUGGUCUGCAACUGACGCUGAGGCUCGAAAGCAUGGGUAGCGAACAGGAUUAGAUACCCUGGUAGUCCAUGCCGUAAACGAUGAGUGCUAAGUGUUGGGAGGCUUCCGCCUCUCAGUGCUGCAGCUAACGCAUUAAGCACUCCGCCUGGGGGAGUACGACCGCAAGGUUGAA
rnacentral:rRNA from 1 species